AGCAAUCCGGAGACGAAAAUGCA
rnacentral:siRNA from 1 species